rnacentral:SRP_RNA from 2 species
GCCUAGCAUGGUGGCAAGUGUCUGUAGUCUCGGCUACUCAGGAGGCUGAGGUGGGAGGACUGUUUGAGCCCUGGAGUCCUGGUCUGCGUGCGCUAUGCUGACUGGGUGUUGGCACUAAGUUUGGCAUCAAUAUGUUGACCUCCCAGGAAUUCAGGACCACCAGGUUCCCUAAGAAGGAGUGAAUGGGCCCAGGUUGGAAAUGGAGCAGGUGGAAAUUCCUGUACUGAUCAGCAGUGGGCUCACACCUGCAAAGAACCCCUGAACUCAAGUCUGGGCAACAGUAAGACACCAUCUCUU